rnacentral:rRNA from 1 species
CCUACGGGUGGCAGCAGUGAGGAAUAUUGGUCAAUGGCCGAAAGGCUGAACCAGCCAAGUCGCGUGAGGGAAGACUGCCCUACGGGUUGUAAACCUCUUUUAUGCGGGGGUAAAGGUGUCCACGCGUGGAUGUUUGCAGGUACCGCAUGAAUAAGGAUCGGCUAAAUCCGUGCCAGCAGCCGCGGUAAUACGGAGGGUCCGGGCGUUAUCCGGAUUUAUUGGGUUUAAAGGGUGCGUAGGCCGGUCUUGAAGUGAGCCGUGAAAUUUUGUGGCUCAACCAUGAGAGUGCGGCGCGAACUGGAGUCCUUGAGUGCGCGGAAGGCAGGCGGAAUGCGUGGUGUAGCGGUGAAAUGCUUAGAUAUCACGAAGAACCCCGAUUGCGAAGGCAGCCUGCCGCAGCGUUACUGACGCUGAUGCACGAAAGCGCGGGUAUCGAACAGGAUUAGAUACCCGUGUAGUC